rnacentral:SRP_RNA from 1 species
GCUGGGCAUGGUGGUGCAUGCCUGUAAUCCCAGCUACUUGGGAGGCUGAGGCAGGAGAGUCGCUUGAACCCAGGAGACAGAGGCUGCAGUGAGCUGAGAUCAUGCCACUGCAUUCCAGCCUGGGUGACAGAACGAGACUCUGUCUCUA